rnacentral:rRNA from 1 species
CCUACGGGAGGCUGCAGUGGGGAAUAUUGGACAAUGGGCGAAAGCCUGAUCCAGCCAUGCCGCGUGUGUGAAGAAGGCCUUCGGGUUGUAAAGCACUUUCAGUGGGGAAGAAAGCCUUGGGGCUAAUACCCUCGAGGAAGGACAUCACCCACAGAAGAAGCACCGGCUAACUCCGUGCCAGCAGCCGCGGUAAUACGGAGGGUGCGAGCGUUAAUCGGAAUUACUGGGCGUAAAGCGCGCGUAGGCGGUCUGAUAAGCCGGUUGUGAAAGCCCCGGGCUCAACCUGGGAACGGCAUCCGGAACUGUCAGGCUAGAGGGCAGGAGAGGAAGGUAGAAUUCCCGGUGUAGCGGUGAAAUGCGUAGAGAUCGGGAGGAAUACCAGUGGCGAAGGCGGCCUUCUGGACUGACACUGACGCUGAGGUGCGAAAGCGUGGGUAGCAAACAGGAUUAGAUACCCCAGUAGUC